GGCCCUCUGCAGCCGCCGUCCACAGCGUCCCGCUGCGCCCUCGAGCCCUCUGAGAGGACCGGCUGUGGCCGCCGCGCUGACCCCUGACCCGGCCCCCCGCGCAGGACAGACCAUGAAGUUGAAGGAACUGGAGCGACCAGCUGUCCAAGUCUGGAGCCCAGCCAGCCAGUACCCAGUGUAUUUGGCCACAGGAACAUCUGCACAGCAGCUAGAUGCCUCCUUUAGCACAAGUGGCACACUGGAAAUCUUUGAGGUUGAUUUCAGGGACCCUUCUCUGGACUUGAAACGCAAGGGAGUCCUUUCUGCCUCGAGCAGGUUUCACAAGCUGAUCUGGGGGAGCUUUGGCAAUGGGCUUCUGGAAGGCUCCGGGGUUAUUGCAGGCGGCGGGGACAAUGGCAUGCUUACGCUAUACAAUGUGACCCACAUCCUGUCUUCGGGAAAGGAACCUGUGAUUGCCCAGAGACAGAAGCACCUGGGGGCCGUCAGAGCCCUCGACUUUAACCCUUUCCAGGGCAACCUCCUGGCCUCGGGGGCCAGUGAUUCUGAAAUCUUCAUUUGGGAUUUGAAUAACCUGAGUGCGCCCAUGACCCCAGGAUCCAAGUCACAGCAGCCCCCAGAAGAUAUCAAGGCACUCUCUUGGAACCGGCAAGUCCAACACAUCCUGUCUUCUGCCCACCCCAGCGGCAAGGCUGUCGUGUGGGAUCUCCGGAAGAAGGAGCCCAUCAUCAAAGUCAGUGAUCACAGCAACAGGAUGCACUGCUCAGGCCUGGCCUGGCACCCAGACGUGGCCACCCAGUUAGUGCUGUGCUCGGAAGAUGACCGUCUCCCAGUGAUUCAGCUGUGGGACUUGCGCUUUGCCUCCUCACCUUUGAAGGUGCUAGAGAGCCACAGCAGGGGGAUCUUGUCAGUGUCGUGGAGCCAGGCUGAUGCUGACCUGCUGCUCAGUAGUGCCAAGGACAACCAGAUCCUGUGCUGGAACCUGGGGAGUGGCGAGGUGGUAUACAAGCUUCCUCCACAGAGCAGCUGGUGCUUUGACGUGCAGUGGUGUCCUCGGGACCCUCCUGUCUUCUCUGCUGCCUCCUUUGACGGCUGGAUCAGUUUGUACUCUGUGAUGGGUAGGAGCUGGGAAGUCCAGCACCUGAGACAAGCUGACAAGAUUUCCUCUUCCUUCAGCAGAGGCCAGCCUCUGCCACCAUUGCAGGUGCCAGAGCAAGUGGCCCAGGCCUCACUGGUGCCUCCCCUGAAAAAGCCUCCCAAAUGGAUGAGACGGCCCACAGGUGUUUCAUUUGCUUUUGGGGGAAAACUGGUUACUUUUGGCCUUCCCAGUACCCCUGACUUUCAAGUGUCACAACCUUGCCCCCGCCUGGUCUUUAUCAGUCAAGUGACCACAGAAUCUGAGUUCCUGAUGCGGUCAGCAGAGCUGCAGGAGGCCCUGGGAUCAGGAAAUCUCCUGAAUUAUUGUCAGAACAAGAGCAAGCGCACCUCACUGUCAAGUGAGAAGAUGCUCUGGCAGUUUCUGAAGGUGACCUUUGAGCAAGAUACCAGAACGAAAUUCCUAAAGCUGUUAGGAUACAGUAAAGAGGAGCUUCAGAAGAAGGUGGCCACACAGUUGGAGAGUGACUUGGGGCUAGGUGAGCGCCCUCAGUCCAAGGAAGAUGACCUCAACAGUAACAGACAACCAGCCUUCUGCAGCCAGGCCUCCAAACACACCGCAGAGGAAACCUCUGCCUCGUCUGCUUUCUUUGAUGAGCUGGUCCCUCAGAACAUGGCUCCAUGGGAGAUCCCUAUCACAGAAGACACUGACGGACUCCUGAGCCAGGCCCUCCUGCUUGGAGAACUGGGCUCUGCUGUGGAGCUGUGUCUGAAGGAAGAGCGCUUCGCCGAUGCCAUCAUCCUGGCCCAGGCUGGGGGUGAAGAUCUGCUGAAGCAAACACAGGAGCGUUACUUGGCCAAGAGCAAAACCAAAGUGUCCUCGCUUCUGGCCUGUGUCGUGCGGAAGAAUUGGAAGGACGUGGUGUGUUCUUGUAGCCUGAAGAGUUGGAGAGAGGCACUGGCCUUGCUGUUGACGUACUCUGAACCAGAGAAACUGCAUGAGCUCUGUGACAUGCUGGGAACCCGCAUGGAGCAGGAGGGUGGCGGGGCGCUAACCUCUGACGCCAGACUCUGUUACGUGUGCUCAGGGAGUGUGGAGCGCCUGGCAGAGUGCUGGGCAAAAUGCCACCAGGCUUCCUCUCCCAUGGCUCUCCAGGACCUGAUGGAGCUGGUGACGGUUCUCAACAGAAGCUUGGAGCUACUGAAGAGGCCUGAUGGGGUGAUCCCAGGGCCCGCUACAGCCUACAGGUUCACUCAGUAUGCCACCCUCCUGGCAUCCCAGGGCAGCCUGGCCACUGCCAUGAGCUUCCUACCCACGGGCUGUGCCCAGCCACUGGUUCAGCAACUGAGAGAUCGGCUUUUUCAUGCCCAAGGUUCUGCUGUCUUAGGCCAACAGCCUCCUCCUUUCCCCUUCCCCCGAGUUGUUGUGGGAGCUGCCACCUCGUCUCACACACUGGGACUUCAGCCUUCUCACCAGGUUCCAGCUCUGUCACCAAGACCAAGGGUUUUCACACCGCAGUCAUCACCCGCGAUGCCCUUGGCAUCUUCUCGCCCUAGCCCACGUCUGGACUCCAGGGUGCAGAAUCUGAGUGACUACAGGACAUCCAGGCCCCAGGCAGCCCAGCCUUUGCCUUUGGGCCCUGGGGUAAGGCCUGUUUUUUCUCAGCCACAGCUGGUAGGAGGGCAAAGGGCUCAAACUCCUAACCCUGUGGGGUUCCCUGGAACAUGGCCUCUUCCUGGUGCCCCUCCGCCUGUGGCAUCCACAUCCGUCAUGCAGCCUGGCUCUGCGUCCCUGCCUGAACCUCCUAGACUGCUCCCUCUGCUUCCUGUGAGACCACCAGCUCCUGGCCCUGUGAGCUUCCAGCCCCCAGCCCCUCCUGCCAGCUUCCCUGUGGAAUUCCCUCCUGGAGGGCCAAGUACUCCAUGCUCUAGCGCCUUCCCAGCCACAGGCAUCUUGACUGUUCAUCCAGGACCUCAAGAUUCCUGGAAAGAUGCUCCGGGUCCCAGGGGAACUCUCCAGAGGAAAAAGCUGCCGGAGACAUUUACACCCCCAGCACCAAUUACUGCUCCAGUUAUGGCCCCUCCCUCACAGCUGCCUGCCUCUGCUGUGAGUCAUGCGCCCCCCGGAGCUCCAGGAGAAUGCAGCCUACAGCAACUUCAGCGGCUGCCACCUGAGAAGAUAGGAAGGAAGGAGCUGCCUCCAGAGCAUCAGCCCUUGAAGGACAGCUUCGAGGCGCUCCUCCGGCGCUGCUCCCUGGCUGCAACUGACUUAAAGACAAAAAGGAAGCUGGAGGAGGCAGCCCAGCGUCUGGAAUGUUUGUACGAGAAGCUCUGUGAGAGGACACUCUCUCCUCAUGUCCUGGCGGGGCUCCACGAGGUUGCCCGAUGUGUGGAAGCAAGAAGCUUUGAGCAGGGCCUGGCGGCGCAUGCCCAGGUGGUGGGCUGCAGCAGCUUCAGCGAGGUGUCCAGCUUCAUGCCCGUCUUGAAGGCUGUCCUCACCAUCGCACAUAAGUUGCAAGUCUAAGGCAAACCAGGCAGCCCCUCUUUCCAGGAAGCCACUCUGCUGUUACUUAACUCCUUCCUGUGGAAAAAGGGACUUUCCACACAGGUUCUAUUUGUUGCUCCCAACUCUUUUCCCUUGCUGCCAGGUACGUGACGCUGUUGUAGCCUGGCCCCAAACCAGCUGAGCACCUGGCCUAGGAUGCACCCGAGACGCGCUCAGCCCCAGAGGCAAGCCAUAGGGCCAGGUCUUCUCUUCCCUCUUACUGUACUGUGACAGGGCCUGGGCAGAGUGGCUUUGCCCUUGGAUGUCCUGUUUAAGUGGCUUCUGAAAGGGUAAAUGGAUCGUACUUUCAAGUCUACCUCUGCUGUAAUCCAUCUCGUGGGUCUGUGGUUUUUCCCUUCUGUGGUUUACAACCUGGCCUUCCCUGCUCCCUGCCCCUGACUUUAUAUUUCCAGGUUCAUGUUUCUCUGUAGCCCCAGGGGUUGGAGCUCUUCAGCCUUUGAGCAAGUCCCGGAUAUGAAGGAUGGAAGCUGACCAGACCCAAGAGUGGAAACCUUGGCCCUUUAGGAAUGAAGCUUUUCCUCUGCCGGCACAUUAGGUCUGAGGAUUGCCUCUAUGGGAGCCAACAUAAAUAUUUCUCCUCCAGGAAUGCGGGUUAAUUAAAAGGAAAUGAAUGAGUGGAAGCAUCCAAUCCAGACCCACAAUAGGCGAGUGCCCCGGCCUGCCCUCCCCUCCCACCACCACCAGCACCACCAGCGCGGAGGACGACCCUGCCUCUGUCUUUGCCCCGACCUGCUGGGAAGGCCAGUUGAGGCUGGCAUUCUUUUUAAGAAAAGAAAGCCCUGCCUGUGUGCAGGCUCACGGGCCAGGGACAGGAAGGAGACCGUGUUUUGCCCACCCCAAACAGUGUCCUUGUCACUUCUCAGGACCUCCCUCUGUUUCUGCCCUCUAGCUGAGACAGAUGGGCUCCUGAAGAGCACACGGGGAAGGGCCCUGGGCUCUGGUACUCACCCCACAGUACCUCAGUAGGGGUGCGAAGAGCCAGCCAUCUUCCUCAGCAGCAGUUUCAAUCUGUAAAAUAAAAGCUUUGACUAGCUGACUUCAAAGA